rnacentral:misc_RNA from 1 species
GAUGAAGAACGCAGCGAAAUGCGAUAAGUAAUGUGAAUUGCAGAAUUCAGUGAAUCAUCGAAUCUUUGAACGCACAUUGCGCCCGCCAGUAUUCUGGCGGGCAUGCCUGUUCGAGCGUCAUUUCAACCAUCAAGCCCCCGGCUUGUGUUGGGGACCUGCGGCUGCCGCAGGCCCUGAAAGGCAGUGGCGGGCUCGCUGUCACACCGAGCGUAGUAGCAUACAUCUCGCUGUGGGCGUGCUGCGGGUUCCGGCCGUUAAACCACCUUCAUAACCCAAGGUUGACCUCGGAUCAGGUAGGAAGACCCGCUGAACUUAAGCAUAUCAAUAAGCGGAGGA